rnacentral:rRNA from 1 species
AUUCGGAGGGUGCAAGCGUUAAUCGGAAUUACUGGGCGUAAAGCGCGCGUAGGCGGUUUGGUAAGUCGGAUGUGAAAGCCCCGGGCUCAACCUGGGAAUUGCAUUCGAUACUGCCAGACUAGAGUAUGGUAGAGGGAAGUGGAAUUCCGGGUGUAGCGGUGAAAUGCGUAGAUAUCCGGAGGAACACCAGUGGCGAAGGCGACUUCCUGGACCAAUACUGACGCUGAGGUGCGAAAGCGUGGGGAGCAAACAGGAUUAGAUACCCUAGUAGUCC